UCCCGUCAGACUCUCGCAGUAACUUGAUAAAUCGCACAUAGACCAUAGCCAUAGCCACGGCCCCGCAAGCUCAGUGGUCGGAGAUGGAUUUUUCGAUGACCAUCUCACAGCUGUGUGGUGUGAGGAACCUUGAUGAAAAGAAAGGUAUACGUCAUAAUGCUUAGUGGUGUGAGGCAGAAUCUCUCCGUUGAUAGCUUAGUGGUGUCGUACAUGAUCAAAACUUGUAUAACAGAAGAGAAGCUAUCCCCAGUGACCAGCUUCCAUCAUAAAUCAUCAACA